rnacentral:rRNA from 1 species
GACGAACCGUGCGAACGUUAUUCGGAAUCACUGGGCUUAAAGCGCGUGUAGGCGGGUCGGUGCGUCGGCCGCUGAAAUCCCCCGGCUCAACCGGGGAAGGGGCGCCGAUACGACCGGCCUGGAGCGACGUAGGGGGAACUGGAACUUCCGGUGGAGCGGUGAAAUGCGCAGAUAUCAGGAGGAACACCGGUGGCGAAGGCGGAUCUCUGGGCCGUAACUGACGCUGAGGAGCGAAAGCAUGGGUAGCGAACAGG